rnacentral:rRNA from 1 species
AUCGACGUCGGGGGGAUCCCCGCGGCGCCGCUGCCCCC